rnacentral:lncRNA from 1 species
AUUGAAACCUUAUGGCAUGUUUUGAUUAAUUUCAAAAGAUUCAUUUUGUUAAAUACUUUAAUAUGUCAAUAAAGUAUGACAUGAAAAGAAAUAACAAAUUUACUAUCAAUUAUAUAUAAAAAAUCAUAAUCAAUUGUUUCAAAUUAACAGAAAUUUUUAAGAUAUUUAUGGAAAGCCUGAACAUGGAGAUUCUUAAAUGAUUCAAAUAAAUCAUUUUUACCAGAAAUUCUGUAACUGUAAAUUCAAAAAUUAUUGUGCUAGGUUUUUAUAUGACCGCAAAAAUUAAAAUUUUUUGGUCGUAUAUUGGUAUCACGUCGUCGUCAUUGUCAGUGUCAUCCUAAGACGGAUGGUUUCCGGAUAAUUACUUUAGUAUAAAAAAAUGGAAAUCAAUAAAAUUUUAACAUAAGGUUUAUAACCACUUAAGGAAGGUUGAGAUUGAUUUUUGGGGUUUUGGUCCCAAUAGUUUAAGAAUAAGGUGCGCAAAAGGGGUCAAAAUAAGUAUUUUUUCUAGUUUCGAGACAAUAACUUUUGUGUAAGUGUAUGGAUCUUUCUGAAAUUGUACCACAAGUUUUCAUUUCAAAAAAGGAAGGUUGGGAAUGAUUUUGGUGGUUAUGGCCCAAACUGUUUAGGAAUUAGGGGCCAAAAAAGGGCCAAAAACAACACUUUUCUAAUACUUUGUUUAAAUUGCUUAUUUCUUGACCAAUUUCAAUGGGGUUUAUUCUUGAAUUCUUGGGGUUCUAAAAUAUGCUAAAUCUAACCAUGUAUUUAGAUUUUUGAUUUUAGGGCCCUUUUAUCAAAUUGGUCCACAUUGAGGUCAAAAGGGUCCAAAAUAAAACUUUGUUUGAUUUUAUACAAAUAUAUCAUGCUUACAAGGGGUAUUUGCCAAAAAUACCGGUUGAGAGGUACAAAUUUCCAGAGCCGUUAGGCGAGAGAAAUUUGAUUACAUCGAAACCGGUAUUUUUGGCAAAUACCCCUUGUAAGCAUGAUAUAAUUGUUUAAUUCCACCGAAUGUUAAACCUCAGAAAGUUUAUUAUAAUCAGGUAUCAUAUGAAAUUUCGACUUGAAUAUAUAAUUUUUGUAUACACUGCAGCUGUGCUAUUUGCGCAGUCAAAUUGCAUUGACCGUAUUAUCAUUUCUUAUCAUUUUUUUAUGUACAACCACUGACUGUAUAUAUAUCUCCCUUUUUCUGAUAAUAAGCUGGUUUUCGGCUGAGUACUACACUUUGUUCAUCAGUUUCAGUGAAGCGUAAUACAAAUGGAUUCCAGUUUUAUGUAACCGGUUGACAAUUCGUUUCCGUUGAGUUUUAUUUAUGACGUCAUUCCGGAAUUUUUUACGUCAUUUGGUCCAAAUUCAAUAAUGAUGCUUUUUAUCCUAAAUAUUUCAUCUGGAACCAUAUAUUUAAAAUGACCAUGAAUUUGUCAUAUUAGAAUAGAAAUAAUUCAUUGCGUUAUUUUUAGACAUGGUAUUUCCCAUCUGCCAUGGUAUUUGCUAGCAAAUACCCCGGCAUAUGGAAUUCCCAAAGGCAAAUACCCCGGCAGAGAAAAGAAAAUGGCUCAAUAUAUAGAAAUUGGUGAAAAAUACCAUGGUUCUCAUCCAAUCAAAAUACAGCAUUAUUACAUAAGGUGGAAUUACAUCAAAAAUUCAAUUCUUGGGAUUCUUUGAUAUGCUGAAUCAAUCCAUGGCCAUGUAUUUAGAUUUUGGAUAUUGGACCAUAUUAGGUAAAUUUAAAUUUUUUAAGUUCCUUAGACCACAUUCAUUCUGUGUCAGAAACCUUUGUUGUGUCAACUAUUUAACCACAAUCCAAAUUCAGAGCUGUAUCAAGCUUGGAUUUUUCUCAAUAUCGCAAAAAAAUAAAAUCACAUUUUAGUCAAAAAUGACAAAAUCGCAAUAAUAAAUACACGCAAUAAUAUCUGAAUUUGCAGUAGUUGACAUUACUUUUACAUAGUAUUCACAUAUUUUUCCGUAUUAUAUACAAUUUAGUACUCAUAUGUACUGGGGACAGCAAAAUUUUCAAAUUUUAAAGUGCUAGCUAAGCAAACUUUUACAUUAAUAUUUUAAUUUUAAAUAUUGCAAGUAUCUAGACCUCCAAUGAUAUUAGCUGAUAUAAUGCGAUAUUGGACAAUCUUUCAUGUAAAUUUGCAAAAUGUGUGUUCUUUUUUAGCAUUGUUGCCAGUUUUUCUGUGGCUUUCACAUGAUAUUUUUGUGCACAAAACACAUAUUGUGGCAUUGUUCAUUUGUGAUUGCCAUGGUUUAUCAAGUAUUUUACUUCAACACUUCUCAUGUGAAGUUACAAGCACACCCUGUAAGAAUGGAACCGUGUACAUAAAUUCACACGCUAUAUUAGUUUGUAAAGUUAUCUCAGAUGGAACUUAUACCAUUUAAAUUAUUCUGCCAUAAAAAGUUUUAAUCGGAUAAAAAGUAAAGAAAAUCUUAUUAUUAUAAUAAAAUGGGAUAUUCCUUCACUGUCACGAGGGGGCCAAUCCAGCCAUUUUUAAAAGGUGAGUUCCAAACGUAGGAUAAAGGGGGUUCCAACCAAAUGAUAUCAUUCAAAUGAAUUUAUUGUCCAAAAAAGGUAAGUUUCUAACCAUGGAAUCUCCCCCCCUGAAUCUGCUACAGGUCACAGAAAUAAAUCGAAUGUAUACAUCUCCAACAAUCCUAUCAGCAUUUUAAGAGAAACACUUCUGCUUGAAUUGUGAUAUAUUCAAAUCUGUUGAAUAUGAAAUAAAGUUCAAAUAAACCAUCUAUCAUAUUGUCCUUUAUCUGACCAUCUCAGGUGUAAUCAUGUCAAUUUUUACCAAAAUUUGAUAUUUAUGGAUAAACUUGUUAAAAUGACAAAUUACUUGGCACUUCCCAUUUAUAAGGUGAGGGAAUUAAAUACAUUUUGUUGUGAUCACUGACCAUUAGAUUUCCAUAUCUAUUAUACAGUUUCCAUAGAAUUCAUGGUUAUACAUUUAUUAAAAAGCUAUAUGUUUUCAUAAUGAAAUUGUAUCAAAUUCUUUUUGUCAUAUAUUUGAGAAUAAAUAAAAUUUAGCUAACAUAUAGAUUAUAGAUAUGGUAAUUUUUAAAGAGGACAAAAAUUUAGAUUAUAUGUGAAUGCCUUUUUUGGGAGAAAGUUUUCAAAUUCUUCCUUUAUGAAUAUAAGUGAAAGGAAAUGUAUCUUAAAACAAGCCAAAAACAAAACUUUACCAAAAAGGACAUUUACUGGCCACAAUAAAUUUCCAAAAUAAUAGAGAAAUUUUUCAUAUUAUUUUUUAAGGCUAAUGAUAUUCUUUAACCUUCAGGCAUAAUAUGAUAAAAAUAAAAUUAUGAUAUUUGGUAACCUCUGCUCACAUAUAAUGAAGAUGAUAUGUUCCGUCUGUUGUCACUUGAAAGUUACAAUCAAUUAUAUCUAUAUAAUACUCUAUCAUAUAAGAAUGACUUUGUAUUUAAAAUUAUCAUACCUGGGUUCCUUAGAUUUUACUUGUAUAUAUGAUUUGUUUCACACAACUUUUAUUACACUUGUAAAUUGAGUUAAAAAUUAGAAAAUAUGGUAUGAUUUUCAAUGAGGCAAGUAACCUCCAAAGUUCAAAUAAAGUGGAUGUAAGGAAUUAUAGGCAACUGUUCCUCCUCAGUGAGAAAGGUUGUUGGAUGACACUAAAAUGUACAAGGGGGAAACUGCUUCCCUACAAUAAAAUACUGACAAUCUUCUCACAUAUACAGGAAGAUGGAGUGAACAACGUUCAGAGCAAGUCUUGGACCAAGGUGAAGAUUUGAUGAUUUAAUCUGUACCAAUUUAUUAUGAAAUACUUCUGAGACCACUUGGCCACAUACGCCUCUUAGUUAUUUAUGAAAAAUAAUGAAUUUUUUAAACAGGUGGGGCGUUUAGUCAAGUGAACACUGCAAUCAAUAGUCUCAGGUUUGCAGACAUUUGCCCCAAUGAAAUAAAAUAAAUGAAGAUAUAUAAUCUUUAUUAAAAACAAUGAAUUACCUUCAGCAGAAAUUAAGAAUACUACAUUAGAAAAAAAAUUCUCCUGCUUAAUCAGAAUUUUUAUAUCAUAAGGUAUAGACCAAAAUGUGGAACAUUUUUAGUUGAUCUAUAUAUACUGUUGUUAGCUGUAGAUUGUCCUAGAUGUAGAUAUAUGGAAUAAGUGCUAUAUUGUUACUUUAUAUUUCAUUUCUGUGUAUACUUGUUGCUUAGCAAUAAUAAGUUGUUAGUAAUUAAAACAC